rnacentral:rRNA from 1 species
UACGCGGGCGGUUUGUUAAGGGAGAUGUGAAAGCCCCGGGAGCAGCCUGGGAACUGCAUUUCGAACUGGCAAACUAGAGUGGGAUAGAGGGUGGUAGAAUUUCAGGUGUAGCGGUGAAAUGCGUAGAGAUCUGAAGGAAUACCGAUGGCGAAGGCAGCCACCUGGGUCAACACUGACGCUCAUGUACGAAAGCGUGGGGAGCAAACGGGAUUAGAUACCCCGGUAGUCCACGCCGUAAACGAUGUCUACUAGAAGCUCGGAACCUCGGUUCUGUUUUUCAAAGCUAACGCAUUAAGUAGACCGCCUGGGGAGUACGGCCGCAAGGUUAAAACUCAAAUGAAUUGACGGGGGCCCGCACAAGCGGUGGAGCAUGUGGUUUAAUUUUUUGCAACGCGAAGAACCUUACCUACACUUGACAUACAGAGAACUUUCUAGAGAUAGAUUGGUGCCUUCGGGAACUCUGAUACAGGGUGCUGCAUGGCUGUCGUCAGCUCGUGUUGUGAGAUG